rnacentral:miRNA from 1 species
CGUAGAUACGUUCCCAUCGCGAUCCUACACUCAAUUUUAAACAUUUGGCUUGGAAUUACUCGUCAACGGCCAGCCAAGUCGUCAAUAUCAGCCGCGACUACAUGUCAAAAGUGAAGGCGUUGACUUUGGGUCGGCGACACGUUAGCCGCGAACUAGCGACUCGCUGCCGCUUUAUUGGUCUUUGGACGAUAUUCGGGAAGGUCGCAUGCGCGUUGAAGUUUCCUUGUAAACUUUAAGAGUGGAGUUUUAUUUGAGGUUGUCCAUAAUGAGGAGAUAUUAUCGUGUUAUUGGUGCAAGAAAUAUCGGUUGGAGGCAGUUAGGCAGUGACUGUAACGUGUCGUGGUUUGGUUGGAUGGCGUCGGUGGUCGCGCCGCGCCGCCCCCGCUGGCGCCCCCGCCUGCGGCCCCGCUGGCGCGUGCGCACGGCGCGGGUCAUCGGCAGCGGUGACGUCAGCGAGGCUGCGCCGCUCGGCCCAAUGGGGCGGUGGCAGAGCGCGGGGCAGCGGCGGCCGGCGCUGGCGCGGGCCAGUCGCGUCCGCCGCCCAGUGCGAGCCGCGUGCGCGCAGUGAACCUACCGCAAGCCGCACGAUUGCUUCAACUUGGCGGAACGCCGCGCGCUCGCGUUUCACUUGGGGCCUUUUUCGCUCGCUGUGCUCGUGUGGUUAAGUGUCAAAGGCUCCAAGUGAAUGUUUGAAGUUUGUACGGCCGGGUUUCCCGCCAAGCUUGAAUAAUCGUGCGGUUGGUCCGUGGGCGCCCGGGAUGAGCACCCGGAUGCGCCCGCGCACCGCUCCACCGUCUCGUCGCAGGUGGUGGAAAGCUGACAUCAACAGUUCUCUUCCACGCCCGCAGAAGAAAGAAAGUGUAGAAGACAAAAGAAAAAUAAUCAGUAAAAUAUACAUAGUAGUUCAAAUUCAGCAAUAAACGCCGUGAGAAACAAGAUCCAACACCAAAAGAACAAAAAAGAAGUAUAAAGAAGUAAGAAGAAAAGAAGAGAGUAGAUUGGUUAAUUAUCUUUGGUUAUCUAGCUGUAUGAGUAUUUUAGACAUCAUAAAGCUAGGUUACCGGAGUUAAGUACCAUCUACGACUACAAUAAGAAACAAGAAGAGAAGCAGAAAAAAAAUAUAUAUAAAUGCUUAGGUUUUAAAUAUUUAAAUAGAAUUUUAUUGUAAUUUUAUGGGACUUGUACUUUGUAGAUUGUACGACAAUAUUAAUUUUUAAACUGUAAUGUGUUAAUUUAAGGCUUAUACGUAAGACCUAUGACUCAAUUUAACUACGCUGCACUUUAGUAACUACUGGAUUUAGUAAAGACUGUAUUAUCUAUAUCUUAAAAUUCUCAUUGGAAAGUAUAACAGAAAAUGGUUGCCAAAAUGAACAUUUUUAUCGAAGUUGAAUUCUAAUACUGGAAAAAUAAUUACUCCAUCCGUCUACACAGUUAAUGGAUGGAAUCGGAUGCCUUUUGUUUUUCUAUUUGCUCGGACAGAGUAAUGGACUUACUUCGUAGACGAUCGAUCUUUCCUUAACUUCUCAUUAUACUUCCAAUUCCAGAAGACAUUAAUGUGGAUAUUUAUUGUAAAAGAAUUUAUAUUUAGGACCAGUUUUAUACUGUUCAACUAUAUAUUAUCGGCCAGAUAGUGUAUAAGACAGAUAAUGCAUGUAGCCCUUUUAUUUACAAUUUAUUUGGAAGCUUAAUUUAUAUUUGAUCGUCCUAUUUAUAUUUGAUGUUAAACGAUUACUCAUUCUCUAUGUCUUUACUAAUAUGUAAAGCUGAAGGGUUUGUUUCAACAUGAUAAUCUAAAAAUCUAAACCGAUUUUCAUUUUUUUACUAAUAGAAAACUUCCUCCUAAGCAUCGAUAUAUAUGUACUACGUACUAGCUUCGGCGCGUCGAACAUUCAUCGUGUUUAACUUAAUUGAACUGCAAUCCAUACAACUGCUUUAGUAUGGUGUCAAUAUUGAAAAAUUGUGUUUGUGUACGGAGUGGCGCUUAUAACAUAUAACAAGAACUCGAGUCUAAGUCUAAAUAAUGGAUGUGAAUAAAAAAUAUUACUCAAAUAAAUAAAAUUAUUUGUUGUUCAAGUGAAUGAAUAGGAUAUAACAGAGACGUUUUGGUUGCCAUUUUAGUGUAGGUUUUGAACAAAUAGUUUAUAUGGACGUUCGUGUCUAGUCAAUGUUCCUAAGUGACUAUAUUGGAAAAUAUUUAACCCGGAAAAACUUUUUCACGCGGGCCGAGACGCAGGUAAAAGCUAGUCAUAAUAUAUGCAAGAACUAAGGCCGUACACAAGACGCCAUUUUACAAUCGUUAACGCCUUCUACAAUGUAUGAGAAUAACAUUGCCUAUCGAUAAGUAUUUCGCCAGGACAUGUUCCCAUCAGUGGCAAAGGAUGAAAUUUUCCGAAAGGUGACCUGCCACAACAUUACUAAUAUGGAUAAAUGCGGUCCGCAAAUCGUUCUGGUAACUAAAUUUUACAUCAAUUACGAAAGGGAAGCCGAUAGGAAUCGGGUGAUAUAGACCCUUCGCUACUGGUUUCUAUACAUAUUUUGUAGCCUAUUAGCAUUAACAAUUGUAGAAAGGCAUUUUAGCUAUAUAUAUUUCGAUCUUGUGUGAUGUUGACUGAGGAUAGUGGCCCUUAGAAAUAAAAAUGAGUUCAGGGUGGAAUUUCAAGGUAUAAUCAACUCUAUAUACGUUUGUUACGCUGCUAUCCUAGCCGAUAACAUCGGGCGUUUCCGGAAGUAUUCGGCUGCGCUUCAGGCUGGCAGAAGAGAAGAUAUGUCACGCGGCGACUAUUCUAUUAUUUCAUAUUAUUCCCUCUGGUUGCACGUAGUCAAAAAAUGUUUUAAAUUGUAUUCUGUAAUUAUUUUUGCAAAUAUAUUGUUUAAUACUGUAAAAAGAGCGUUUAACGCGUUUUUAAGCACGCUGUGACAUAGAUUUGCUUUAAUUUACAUGUGAGUUGGAAGUAAACGCAAAAACCGCGAAACGACAAUGUAUGAAGUUUGGAACCAAGCCAUGAACUAGGAUAAUAUAUUUCUUACACUGGAUACACAUCCAUUAUUCUAGGAAAUCCUUAAACAGACGAAGCUGCGAGUAAAACUUAGUACUUUAUAAAAUGCAUUUUAUACUAGACAGUGGCCAGCGCAAACUCACGCGUUACCACUAAGUCCAGUUAGCAUUCCAAUCGACCGCGUCUGCCGUCGGUAACCACAAUGAUUGGCCCGCGAACAACUAAUCUAUCGGCUUUAA